AAACGUAGGAGGCGAGCGUUAUCCGGAUUUACUGGGCGUAAAGCGCGUGCAGGCGGUUUGGUAAGUUGGAUGUGAAAGCUCCCGGCUCAACUGGGAGAGGUCGUUCAAUACUGCCGAACUUGAGGAUGGUAGAGGAAGGUGGAAUUCCGGGUGUAGUGGUGAAAUGCGUAGAUAUCCGGAGGAACACCAGUGGCGAAAGCGGCCUUCUGGACCAUUUCUGACGCUCAGACGCGAAAGCUAGGGGAGC
rnacentral:rRNA from 1 species